UGGACUCGUGGUCUAGUGGUAUGACGUCUCCUUCACACGGAGAAGGUCAGGAGUUCGAAUCUCCUCGGGUCCAU
rnacentral:tRNA from 1 species